AGAGUUUGAUCCUGGCUCAGGAUGAACGCUGGCGGUCUGCUUAACACAUGCAAGUCGAACGGAGUAGAAAUACUUAGUGGCGGACGGGUGAGUAACGCGUGAGAAUCUGCCUUCAGGACGGAGACAACAGUUGGAAACGACUGCUAAGCCCCGAUGAACCGAAAGGGAAAAUAUUUAUAGCCUGAAGAUGAGCUCGCGUCCGAUUAGCUAGUUGGCGGAGUAAAAGCCCACCAAGGCGACGAUCUGUAGCUGGUCUGAGAGGACGACCAGCCACACUGGGACUGAGACACGGCCCAGACUCCUACGGGAGGCAGCAGUAAGGAAUAUUCCACAAUGGGCGCAAGCCUGAUGGAGCGACGCCGCGUGAGCGAAGAAGCACUUCGGUGUGUAAAGCUCUUUUCUCAGGGAUGAUAAUGACAGUACCUGGGGAAUAAGCCCCGGCUAACUACGUGCCAGCAGCCGCGGUAAUACGUAGGGGGCAAGCGUUGUCCGGAUUUACUGGGCGUAAAGCGCGUGUAGGUGGUACGAUAAGUCUGCUGUGAAAGCGCCCGGCUCAACUGGGCGAGGUCGGUGGAAACUGUCGAACUAGAGGACGGUAGAGGAGAGUGGAAUUCCCGGUGUAGUGGUGAAAUGCGUAGAUAUCGGGAGGAACACCAGCGGCGAAGGCGGCUCUCUGGGCCGCUCCUGACACUGAGACGCGAAGGCCAGGGGAGCGAACGGGAUUAGAUACCCCAGUAGUCC
rnacentral:rRNA from 1 species